GGAGAAAAGCAGGGGAUCGUAAGACCUCGCGUUAAUGGAGUGGCCGAUAUCUGAUUAGCUAGUUGGUGAGGUAAAGGCUCACCAAGGCGACGAUCAGUAGCUGGUCUGAGAGGACGACCAGCCACACUGGAACUGAGACACGGUCCAGACUCCUACGGGAGGCUGCAGUGGGGAAUUUUGGACAAUGGGCGCAAGCCUGAUCCAGCCAUUCCGCGUGAGUGAAGAAGGCCUUCGGGUUGUAAAGCUCUUUCGCAAGGGAAGAAAACUUACUCAAUAACACUGGGUGAGGCUGACGGUACCUUGAUAAGAAGCACCGGCUAACUACGUGCCAGCAGCCGCGGUAAUACGUAGGGUGCGAGCGUUAAUCGGAAUUACUGGGCGUAAAGCGUGCGCAGGCGGUUUUGUAAGUCAGAUGUGAAAGCCCCGGGCUCAACCUGGGAACUGCGUUUGAAACUACAAAGCUAG
rnacentral:rRNA from 1 species